UACGUAGGUGGCAAGCGUUAUCCGGAAUUAUUGGGCGUAAAGAGCGCGCAGGUGGUUGAUUAAGUCUGAUGUGAAAGCCCACGGCUUAACCGUGGAGGGUCGAUUGGAAACUGGUCGACUUGAGUGCAGAAGAGGGAAGUGGAAUUCCAUGUGUAGCGGUGAAAUGCGUAGAGAUAUGGAGGAACACCAGUGGCGGAGGCGGCUUCCUGGUCUGUAACUGACACUGAGGCGCGAAAGCGUGGAGAGCAACAGGAUUAGAUA
rnacentral:rRNA from 1 species